UACCAGCACCCCGAGUGGUCUGGACGUUUAUUGGGUCUAAAGCAUCCGUAGCCGGUUCUACAAGUCUUCCGUUAAAUCCAGCUGCUUAACAGAUGGGCUGCGGAAGAUACUAUGGAGCUAGGAGGCGGGAGAGGCAAGCGGUACUCGAUGGGUAGGGGUAAAAUCCGUUGAUCCAUUGAAGACCACCAGUGGCGAAGGCGGCUUGCCAGAACGCGCUCGACGGUGAGGGAUGAAAGCUGGGGGAGCAAACCGG
rnacentral:rRNA from 1 species